AAUAAAUUAUACAUGUACUUAUGUUAGUUAGAUAUAGUUUUUAGGCCCUAUGUAAUGUACCUACCUAUAUUAAUUCUCAUGGAUCAUUGCUAUUUUCAAGGAAUUGGAUCAUUUUUUAUUUCUUGACACUUACCCUACAAUAAUUUAAUUUCAAUUACUUAUUCAGACUCCUUGACAACCCCUGUAGCGCUAUAGAAAAAAUUACCAUUUGAUAAUUAUUCAAUUAUUUAUUAGAAAACGUAUAAUUAAACACCGUUCUUAAU